UACGGGGGGGGCAAGCGUUGUUCGGAAUUACUGGGCGUAAAGGGCUUGUAGGUGGCCAACUAAGUCAGACGUGAAAUCCCCAGGCUUAACCUGGGAACUGCGUGUGAUACUGGAUGGCUUGAAUCCGGGAGAGGGAUGCGGAAUUCCAGGUGUAGCGGUGAAAUGCGUAGAUAUCUGGAGGAACACCGGUGGCGAAGGCGGCAUCCUGGACCGGUAUUGACGCUGAUGAGCGAAAGCCAGGGGAGCAAACGGG
rnacentral:rRNA from 1 species